rnacentral:rRNA from 1 species
UCUGCCCGCUGGCGGCGUGCCUAAUACAUGCAAGUCGAGCGAACAGACGAGGAGCUUGCUCCUUCGACGUUAGCGGCGGACGGGUGAGUAACACGUAGGUAACCUACCUAUAAGACUGGGAUAAAUUCGGGAAACCGGAGCUAAUACCGGAUAAUAUUUCGAACCGCAUGGUUCGAUAGUGAAAGAUGGCUUUGCUAUCACUUAUAGAUGGACCUGCGCCGUAUUAGCUAGUUGGUAAGGUAACGGCUUACCAAGGCAACGAUACGUAGCCGACCUGAGAGGGUGAUCGGCCACACUGGAACUGAGACACGGUCCAGACUCCUACGGGAGGCAGCAGUAGGGAAUCUUCCGCAAUGGGCGAAAGCCUGACGGAGCAACGCCGCGUGAGUGAUGAAGGUCUUCGGAUCGUAAAACUCUGUUAUUAGGGAAGAACAAACGUGUAAGUAACUGUGCACGUCUUGACGGUACCUAAUCAGAAAGCCACGGCUAACUACGUG